rnacentral:ncRNA from 1 species
GAAAAGACAAUAAAAAGGACGAGUAACCUCGUUAGGCAUGUCAAGUGAGUUGGGGCAGAGUGCGAACCCGAUGAUGCUGCGAGCUGAAAAACACCUUUUUGUUUCUAACUGAAUCAAUAGUAGGAUUAGACGUGGCCGGUACGUUACAACUGGAAAGUAUGCAAUGUACUUUUGAGUAGACUUCGCAAGAAGUAAUGUGGGUGGUACCGCGGAAAUGACCUUUCGUCCCUAUU